rnacentral:rRNA from 1 species
GUCGCGAAUCUUCCGCAAUGGGCGCAAGCCUGACGGAGCGACGCCGCGUGAAGGAUGAAGGCCUUCGGGUCGUAAACUUCUGUCAUACGUUAUGAAGUGCUAUUGAGCUAAUAUCUCGAAAGCAUUGACAAAGGCGUAAGAGGAAGCCACGGCUAAAUACGUGCCAGCAGCCGCGGUAAUACGUAUGUGGCAAGCGUUGCUCGGUGUCACUGGGCAUAAAGAGUUCGUAGGCGGCUUUGUAAGUCGGGUGUGAAAUCCCUCGGCCCAACUGAGGAACUGCACCCGAUACUGCAUUGCUUGAGGUCGGAAGAGGAGAGUGGAAUUCUGGGUGUAGCGGUAAAAUGCGUUGAUAUCCAGGAGAACACCGGUGGCGAAGGCGACUCUCUGGUCCGAAUCUGACGCUGAGGAACGAAAGCUAGGGGAGCGAACGGGAUUAGAAACCCUAGUAGUCC